rnacentral:rRNA from 1 species
GAUGAACGCUAGCUACAGGCUUAACACAUGCAAGUCGAGGGGAAACGGCAUUGAGUGCUUGCACUCUUUGGACGUCGACCGGCGCACGGGUGAGUAACGCGUAUCCAACCUUCCCAUUACUGUGGGAUAACCUGCCGAAAGGCAGACUAAUACCGCAUAGUCUUCGAUGACGGCAUCAGAUUUGAAGUAAAGAUUUAUCGGUAAUGGAUGGGGAUGCGUCUGAUUAGCUUGUUGGCGGGGUAACGGCCCACCAAGGCUACGAUCAGUAGGGGUUCUGAGAGUAAGGUCCCCCACAUUGGAACUGAGACACGGUCCAAACUCCUACGGGAGGCAGCAGUGAGGAAUAUUGGUCAAUGGACGGAAGUCUGAACCAGCCAAGUAGCGUGCAGGAUGACGGCCCUAUGGGUUGUAAACUGCUUUUGUAUGGGGAUAAAGUUAGGGACGUGUCCCUAUUUGCAGGUACCAUACGAAUAAGGACCGGCUAAUUCCGUG